GAUGAACGCUGGCGGCGUGCCUAAUACAUGCAAGUCGAGCGAACGGACGAGAAGCUUGCUUCUCUGAUGUUAGCGGCGGACGGGUGAGUAACACGUGGAUAACCUACCUAUAAGACUGGGAUAACUUCGGGAAACCGGAGCUAAUACCGGAUGAUAUUUUGAACCGCAUGGUUCAAAAGUGAAAGACGGUCUUGCUGUCACUUAUAGAUGGAUCCGCGCUGCAUUAGCUAGUUGGUAAGGUAACGGCUUACCAAGGCAACGAUGCAUAGCCGACCUGAGAGGGUGAUCGGCCAAACUGGAAAUGAGACACGGUCCAGACUCCUACGGGAGGCAGCAGUAGGGAAUCUUCCGCAAUGGGCGAAAGCCUGACGGAGCAACGCCGCGUGAGUGAUGAAGGUCUUCGGAUCGUAAAACUCUGUUAUUAGGGAAGAACAUAUGUGUAAGUAACUGGGCACAUCUUGACGGUACCUAAUCAGAAAGCCACGGCUAACUACGUG
rnacentral:rRNA from 1 species